UGGGGGAUAUUGCACAAUGGGCGAAAGCCUGAUGCAGCGACGCCGCGUGGGGGAUGAAGGCUUUCGGGUUGUAAACCUCUUUCGCUAUCGAACAAGGCCCGCUUAGGGUGGGUUGAGGGUAGGUGGAGAAGAAGCGCCGGCUAACUACGUGCCAGCAGCCGCGGUAAUACGUAGGGCGCGAGCGUUGUCCGGAAUUAUUGGGCGUAAAGGGCUUGUAGGCGGCUUGUUGCGCCUGCUGUGAAAACCCGGGGCUUAACUUCGCGCGUGCAGUGGGUACGGGCAGGCUUGAGUGUGGUAGGGGUGACUGGAAUUCCAGGUGUAGCGGUGUAAUGCGCAGAUAUCUGGAGGAACACCGAUGGCGAAGGCAGGUCACUGGGCCAUUACUGACGCUGAGGAGCGAAAGCAUGGGUAGCGAACAGG
rnacentral:rRNA from 1 species